UCUAACCGUAAACGAUGACAACCAGCGAUUAAUCGGCGUUAAUAUACGACCCGAUUAGCAGCUUCCGGGAAACCAAAGUUUUUCGUUUCCGGGGGAAGUAUGGUUGCAAAGCUGAAACUUAAAGGAAUUGACGGAAGGGCACCACCAGGAGUGGAGCCUGCGGCUUAAUUUGACUCAACACGGGAAAACUCACCCGGCCCGGACACCGUCAGGAUUGACAGACUGAGAGCUCUUUCUUAAUUCGGUGGGUGGUGGUGCAUGGCCGUUCUUAGUUGGUGGAGCGAUUUGUCUGGUUAAUUCCGAUAACGAACGAGACUCUGGCCUAUUAAAUAGACGAGAUAUUAAAAAGUAUCUCGCACUUCUUAGAGGGACAAGCGGCGUCUAGUCGCAUGAAAAAGAGCAAUAACAGGUCUGUGAUGCCCUUAGAUGUCCGGGGCUGCACGCGCGCUACACUGAAAGAAUCAGUGUGCGUUUUACCUAGUUCGGAAGAACCGGGUAACCCAAGUAAAUUCUUUCGUGCUUGGGAUAGGGAAUUGCAAUUAUUUCCCUUAAACGAGGAAUUCCCAGUAAAUGCGGGUCAUAAGCUCGCGUUGAUUACGUCCCUGCCCUUUGUACACACCGCCCGUCGCUACUACCGAUUGGAUGACUUAGUGAGGUCUUAGGACCGAGGUUAAAGUGCUUUAACGAGUGCUUCUGCUUUGGAAAUUUGAUCGAACUACGUUAUCUAGAGGAAGUAAAAGUC
rnacentral:rRNA from 1 species